UUGCUGCUGCUGCUGCUGCUGCCGUUGCAUCCCUUCCUGCUGCCCACUGUUGCUGCUGCUGCUGCUGCUGCUGCUGCUGCUGCUGCUGCAGGUGAUGCGGACGCCUGCUACAGCCUCUGCGGGCUCAGAAGCAGCAGACAGUGAAGAGGAGCUGGGCGCCUUCAUCCGCACUUUGCUGCUGCUGCCCCCCAGCAGCAGCAGCAGCAGCAGCAGCAGCAGCAGCAGCAAAAGGAAGCACUCGCUGCUGGUUGCUCAGGACACCGGCUUGAUAAGCCUUGUCCCUCUGCCUUCUCACUUAUCCGCUUUUGUGUCUCCUGCUGCUGCUGCUGCAGCAACAGCAGCAGCAGCAGCAGCAGCAGCGGGA
rnacentral:ncRNA from 1 species